CUGUGCUGCGCAUGGCCAAGUGAGCUAAUUUGUGCCUAAUAUGCUAUAGGGAGACGUUCUCGAAAAUGAGAGGGAGUUAUGCAAGGUUGUUUUUGUUCCUUAGGGCGUUCCUGCACCCUCGAGCGGUCGCAAUAAAAGCGCGCCCGCACAACGCUGAGCGUGGCAGAAGUGACUUCGUCUUCCAGUAGCAGAACUCUCCUGCAAGCACCGAGAAAGUCACGAUGAAGAGGCUGGCGCUCAUACUGGUGGGCGUUCUUCUCUGCGAAGUUAUGCUGACGGAAGCGAUACGCCCUCCUGGAAAAUCGAACAACGCACCACGUCGCAACACUAAGCGGGAGAAGUGUGGUUAUGUCUACUGCAAACCUGGGGAGUACUGCGAGACACGCGGUCUACCGGCUCCUUCAUGUG